UACAGAGGUCCCAAGCGUUGUUCGGAUUCACUGGGCGUAAAGGGUGCGUAGGUGGUUGGGUAAGUUUGAUGUGAAAUCUCUGAGCUCAACUCAGAAACUGCAUUGAAUACUAUCCGGCUAGAGAAUCGGAGGGGGGACUGGAAUACUUGGUGUAGCAGUGAAAUGCGUAGAUAUCAUUUGGAACGCCAAUGGUGAAAACAGCUCGCUGGGGGUUUGCUGACGCUGAGACGACGAAAGCCAGGGGAAGCAAAGCGGG
rnacentral:rRNA from 1 species